GACGAACGCUGGCGGCGUGCUUAACACAUGCAAGUCGAACGGAAAGGCCCUGCUUUUGUGAGGUGCUCGAGUGGCGAACGGGUGAGUAACACGUGAGUAACCUGCCCUUGACUUUGGGAUAACUUCAGGAAACUGGGGCUAAUACCGGAUAGGAGCUCCUGCUGCAUGGUGGGGGUUGGAAAGUUUCGGCGGUUGGGGAUGGACUCGCGGCUUAUCAGCUUGUUGGUGGGGUAGUGGCUUACCAAGGCUUUGACGGGUAGCCGGCCUGAGAGGGUGACCGGCCACAUUGGGAUUGAGAUACGGCCCAGACUCCUACGGGAGGCAGCAGUGGGGAAUAUUGCACAAUGGGCGGAAGCCUGAUGCAGCAACGCCGCGUGCGGGAUGACGGCCUUCGGGUUGUAAACCGCUUUCGCCUGUGACGAAGCGUGAGUGACGGUAAUGGGUAAAGAAGCACCGGCUAACUACGUG
rnacentral:rRNA from 1 species